ACCAGGGCUCUGACACGGCCUAACCAGGUCUCUGACACAGCACUAUCAGCUCCAGCACCAUCAGCUCCAGCACCAUCAGCUCCAGCACCAUCAGCCACGGCCUAACCAGGGCUCUGACACAGCACCGUGAGCUCCCGAGUCCAUCCUUAGCCUGGGAUUCACUGGGAUUUUUUCUUCCUCUUUGAAGGGAAGUUUACUGAUCCUACACUAAUUUCAGAUUAGUAAAAUAAUCUCAGGGCUAAUAACUUCAUCGCUUUCAUGGUGAAAACAAAAGCUGCCCAUGAUGGAAAACUGCAUUGUGAGAGAGAAGAAAAGCCAGUUUCACACAAAGCUUGCUCGAGUGCAGCACAUUUUGUGCACUGCUGAGAUGCUGAGUGAGCAAAGUGUGCUUGGCUUCAGGUGCUCCUCUGCUGCAGGAAGGUGAAGUGAUUUACUGGCUGUGUCUUCCUGUGGUGAUGUCUGAAAGCGACACAAACACACAGUAACAAUUAGCAGUGCUCGGAGAAGUGUUGACACCAAUUCCUAGAGGAGAUUAUUUACUCCUAGUGCUGACCUGUCAAUAAACAACGCUAAACUCUACCGAGAAACGACAAGGGUUUAGUGUGGGAAAAAACUCUGCUCUAGCUGUGGUGAGCUAUACAUGGAUGAAGACUACUUAGAACAAGAGUGUCAAAGUUACUUCCAUUCUUUGAAAGUUCACAACUUAUUUUAGAUUGUUGUACUGCUCACAAUUAACUUUAUUCUCUCGACAAGAAAAGUGAAAAAAUUAAUAAAUAUAUGCUGGAGAUACAAGUUAAAAUUUCACUUAUAAUUAGGUGCUCAGCACAUGACUGAGGCCAGUUCAGAGGAAGAACAUUGGCCAAAAGCCCACAGGCUAAGGGCAGCAUCCAGACACGGGCUCAGCACAGAGCUGUGGAAAGCACUGAAGAGCUGGCUAGCACAGGAGCACUGCAGGAAUGCUUUCCUCUCAAUUAGUCCAUGUAAUUGCCUGGUGUCAGAGCAAUACUGUAAAGCAGACUUGCAACGUGAGACCCAUGAACAAGGAGAUCUACCUUCAGUCUUAGACACUAAUUGAGGUCAAAUCACAUAACUGGAAAGCUUCUGAGGUAAAAGCAGUGUCAAUUAGAUUUCCUAAUGCAGAUCCUACUGCAUUUUAUUGUCAAAAUUAGAAAAAUUACCUGUUACUGGCUAGAUCUCAGUUUCCC